UGGGUUGUGGCUUAGCAGUAGAGCACUCGCCUACAUGUGCGAGGCCCUGGGUUCGAUCCUCAGCAUCACAU
rnacentral:tRNA from 1 species